rnacentral:SRP_RNA from 1 species
GCCGGGCAUGGUGGCUCAUGCCUGUAAUCCCAGCACUCUGGGAGGCUGAGGUGGGUGGAUCACCUGAGGUCAGGAGUUCGAGACCAGCCUGGCCAACAUGGUGAAACCCCGUUUCUA